GGGUUGUGAGGUUAAGCGACUAAGCGUACACGGUGGAUGCCCUGGCAGUCAGAGGCGAUGAAGGACGUGCUAAUCUGCGAUAAGCGUCGGUAAGGUGAUAUGAACCGUUAUAACCGGCGAUUUCCGAAUGGGGAAACCCAGUGUGUUUCGACACACUAUCAUUAACUGAAUCCAUAGGUUAAUGAGGCGAACCGGGGGAACUGAAACAUCUAAGUACCCCGAGGAAAAGAAAUCAACCGAGAUUCCCCAGUAGCGGCGAGCGAACGGGGAGGAGCCCAGAGCCUGAAUCAGUGUGUGUGUUAGUGGAAGCGUCUGGAAAGGCGCGCGAUACAGGGUGACAGCCCCGUACACAAAAAUGCACAUGCUGUGAGCUCGAUGAGUAGGGCGGGACACGUGGUAUCCUGUCUGAAUAUGGGGGACCAUCCUCCAAGGCUAAAUACUCCUGACUGACCGAUAGUGAACCAGUACCGUGAGGGAAAGGCGAAAAGAACCCCGGCGAGGGGAGUGAAAAAGAACCUGAAACCGUGUACGUACAAGCAGUGGGAGCACAGAGCAAUCUGUGUGACUGCGUACCUUUUGUAUAAUGGGUCAGCGACUUAUAUUCUGUAGCAAGGUUAACCGAAUAGGGGAGCCGAAGGGAAACCGAGUCUUAACUGGGCGUUAAGUUGCAGGGUAUAGACCCGAAACCCGGUGAUCUAGCCAUGGGCAGGUUGAAGGUUGGGUAACACUAACUGGAGGACCGAACCGACUAAUGUUGAAAAAUUAGCGGAUGACUUGUGGCUGGGGGUGAAAGGCCAAUCAAACCGGGAGAUAGCUGGUUCUCCCCGAAAGCUAUUUAGGUAGCGCCUCGUGAAUUCAUCUCCGGGGGUAGAGCACUGUUUCGGCAAGGGGGUCAUCCCGACUUACCAACCCGAUGCAAACUGCGAAUACCGGAGAAUGUUAUCACGGGAGACACACGGCGGGUGCUAACGUCCGUCGUGAAGAGGGAAACAACCCAGACCGCCAGCUAAGGUCCCAAAGUCAUGGUUAAGUGGGAAACGAUGUGGGAAGGCCCAGACAGCCAGGAUGUUGGCUUAGAAGCAGCCAUCAUUUAAAGAAAGCGUAAUAGCUCACUGGUCGAGUCGGCCUGCGCGGAAGAUGUAACGGGGCUAAACCAUGCACCGAAGCUGCGGCAGCGACACUGUGUGUUGUUGGGUAGGGGAGCGUUCUGUAAGCCUGUGAAGGUGUGCUGUGAGGCAUGCUGGAGGUAUCAGAAGUGCGAAUGCUGACAUAAGUAACGAUAAAGCGGGUGAAAAGCCCGCUCGCCGGAAGACCAAGGGUUCCUGUCCAACGUUAAUCGGGGCAGGGUGAGUCGACCCCUAAGGCGAGGCCGAAAGGCGUAGUCGAUGGGAAACAGGUUAAUAUUCCUGUACUUGGUGUUACUGCGAAGGGGGGACGGAGAAGGCUAUGUUGGCCGGGCGACGGUUGUCCCGGUUUAAGCGUGUAGGCUGGUUUUCCAGGCAAAUCCGGAAAAUCAAGGCUGAGGCGUGAUGACGAGGCACUACGGUGCUGAAGCAACAAAUGCCCUGCUUCCAGGAAAAGCCUCUAAGCAUCAGGUAACAUCAAAUCGUACCCCAAACCGACACAGGUGGUCAGGUAGAGAAUACCAAGGCGCUUGAGAGAACUCGGGUGAAGGAACUAGGCAAAAUGGUGCCGUAACUUCGGGAGAAGGCACGCUGAUAUGUAGGUGAAGUCCCUCGCGGAUGGAGCUGAAAUCAGUCGAAGAUACCAGCUGGCUGCAACUGUUUAUUAAAAACACAGCACUGUGCAAACACGAAAGUGGACGUAUACGGUGUGACGCCUGCCCGGUGCCGGAAGGUUAAUUGAUGGGGUCAGCGCAAGCGAAGCUCUUGAUCGAAGCCCCGGUAAACGGCGGCCGUAACUAUAACGGUCCUAAGGUAGCGAAAUUCCUUGUCGGGUAAGUUCCGACCUGCACGAAUGGCGUAAUGAUGGCCAGGCUGUCUCCACCCGAGACUCAGUGAAAUUGAACUCGCUGUGAAGAUGCAGUGUACCCGCGGCAAGACGGAAAGACCCCGUGAACCUUUACUAUAGCUUGACACUGAACAUUGAGCCUUGAUGUGUAGGAUAGGUGGGAGGCUUUGAAGUGUGGACGCCAGUCUGCAUGGAGCCGACCUUGAAAUACCACCCUUUAAUGUUUGAUGUUCUAACGUGGACCCGUGAUCCGGGUUGCGGACAGUGUCUGGUGGGUAGUUUGACUGGGGCGGUCUCCUCCUAAAGAGUAACGGAGGAGCACGAAGGUUGGCUAAUCCUGGUCGGACAUCAGGAGGUUAGUGCAAUGGCAUAAGCCAGCUUGACUGCGAGCGUGACGGCGCGAGCAGGUGCGAAAGCAGGUCAUAGUGAUCCGGUGGUUCUGAAUGGAAGGGCCAUCGCUCAACGGAUAAAAGGUACUCCGGGGAUAACAGGCUGAUACCGCCCAAGAGUUCAUAUCGACGGCGGUGUUUGGCACCUCGAUGUCGGCUCAUCACAUCCUGGGGCUGAAGUAGGUCCCAAGGGUAUGGCUGUUCGCCAUUUAAAGUGGUACGCGAGCUGGGUUUAGAACGUCGUGAGACAGUUCGGUCCCUAUCUGCCGUGGGCGCUGGAGAACUGAGGGGGGCUGCUCCUAGUACGAGAGGACCGGAGUGGACGCAUCACUGGUGUUCGGGUUGUCAUGCCAAUGGCACUGCCCGGUAGCUAAAUGCGGAAGAGAUAAGUGCUGAAAGCAUCUAAGCACGAAACUUGCCCCGAGAUGAGUUCUCCCUGACCCUUUAAGGGUCCUGAAGGAACGUUGAAGACGACGACGUUGAUAGGCCGGGUGUGUAAGCGCAGCGAUGCGUUGAGCUAACCGGUACUAAUGAACCGUGAGGCUUAACCUUACAACGCCGAAGGUGUUU
rnacentral:rRNA from 1 species